AACGAACGCUGGCGGCAGGCCUAACACGUGCAAGUCGAGCGAGGACUUCGGUUCUAGCGGCGGACGGGUGAGUAACGCGUGGGAAUGUGCCCUUCUCUACGGAAUAGCCCUGGGAAACUGGGAGUAAUACCGUAUACGCCCUUUUGGGGAAAGAUUUAUCGGAGAAGGAUCAGCCCGCGUUGGAUUAGGUAGUUGGUGGGGUAAUGGCCUACCAAGCCGACGAUCCAUAGCUGGUUUGAGAGGAUGAUCAGCCACACUGGGACUGAGACACGGCCCAGACUCCUACGGGAGGCAGCAGUGGGGAAUCUUAGACAAUGGGGGCAACCCUGAUCUAGCCAUGCCGCGUGAGUGAUGAAGGCCUUAGGGUUGUAAAGCUCUUUCAGCUGGGAAGAUAAUGACGGUACCAGCAGAAGAAGCCCCGGCUAACUCCGUG
rnacentral:rRNA from 1 species